rnacentral:pre_miRNA from 1 species
GGAAACUUAGAAACUACCGUUGGAUUGAGAAAUGGACGUCCAAGAUUUAUCCACGUCACUAUGAGUUAAAAUUUAACUCGCAGAUUCACUGAUGAGUUAAAAAUUUACUAGGAGUCAAAUUUUAACUCAUGGUGAUGUGGACGAAUCUCGGACGUCCAUUUCUCGAUCCAACGAUAGUUUCUAAGUUUCC